CAUGAAAGGUGAAGGAAUGGCUGUGAGCUCUCUGAGCUGGAGGCAGCUAGAAUGAGCACAAGGUCACCUGUGUGUCAGAACAAAGUAUCUGUCAAGAGAGGCGAGGAAAGGCUCAGCUUCUUGACGUUUGGCAAAUGAGCUGGGGUAUCUCACAGCAGCAGUUGCUGCUUGAGAUCAAGUCACAUCAUUCAAGAUGACAGACAGUAAGCCUUCUACCUAAGUCACUCAGCACCCUGAGCCAGAACCUCAACUCUUCACAAAGCCACAACCCUGAAAGCAAACGUCACUGUACACUCUCUCUUCAGAAAGACAUUAGCCUGCACAUAAGUCUAUGCACUGUGUGCCUGCCUGGUGCCCAUGAAGCCAGAAGAGGGUUAGGUACCCUGGAAUUACAGACACUGGUGAGCCACCGUGCGGUUACUGUGAAUCAAGUCCAAGUUCUCGGCAAGAGCAGCUCGUCCUCUUAGCUGCUAAACCGCCUCUCUAGCCCUCAGAGACUUAUUUUAACUCUGUGUGUGUGUGUGUGUGUGUGUGUGUGUGUGUACAUGAGUGCAGGUUCAGAAGGGCUGGCUCCCCUGGAGCUGGAGUGACAGGCAGAGAUGGGUGCUGGGAAUAGAACUUGGGUCUUCUGGUAGAGUAGCAAGAACUCUUAGCCCUCUCUCUAGCUCCCCAAAAUACAAUUCUCACAGUGUAUGGUGGUGCAGUACUUUGGAAGUGGAGGCAGAAGGAUCAGGAGUUCAAGACCAGCCUUAGCUAACUACCUAGUUUUUUUUUUUAAAAACAAACAAACAAACAAACAAACAAACCAAAAAACCCCACACAAUUCCAAAUACCCUGCAGAAAGCUUUUAGGUCACAGGACACCUUUAUUUUGUAUUACUAUCACUUGGUUAUUGUGUUGUGUGUGCACAAGUGUGUAGCUAUCCAUGUGUGGAGGUCACAAACUCCUUUUCUCCCUCCACCAGGUAGGUCCCAGGGAUCAAACUCAGAUCAACAGCCUUUACCUGCUGAGCCAUCUUGCUGUCCCAAAAAACCUUUCUUCCUUUUUUAAGAAAAAAAAAAAAAAAAAUUUUUUUUUUUUUUUUUUGGUUUUUCGAGACAGGGUUUCUCUGUAUAGCCCUGGCUGUCCUGGAACUCACUUUGUAGACCAGGCUGGCCUCGAACUCAGAAAUCCACCUGCCUCGGCCUCCCGAGUGCUGGGAUUAAAGGUGUGCGCCACCACGCCAGGCUUAAUUUUUUUUUUUUUUUUAAUUUCCUGUGCACUGAUGUUUUACUGCAUGUCUGUCUGUGUGGCGGUGUCAGGUCCCCUGGAACUGGAGUCACAGACAACCGUGAGCUGCCGUGUGGGUGCUGGGAACUGAAGGUGGAUCCUCUGGAAGAGCAGCCAGUGCUCUUAACCUUUGAGCCAUGCUCCAGCCCCCAGGAAAUCUCUCUUAAAAGAAACCUUUCUAAACUUUUAUAUAAAUAGUAUCAUUGCUAAAAACAAAAGUCUUUAUCUAUCUGUUUUAUGUAUCUUUCAGAAAAUAAACUAAAAUAUAACACCGCUUGAGCUCUUUAGUUUAAUAUGACAUUGAAAAGUAUCUGCGUAAUGAUUAACUUUAAAUUCUAUGGAAUCUCCCAGCUGUCUACACAUGGCUAGGGUGGGGUAGAAAAGGAAAUGGAGACCCUUAGGAAUAAAAUGUAGUUGUCUGAAAGUUGGACUGUCACGUAAACACUUUGCUCCAAAGAGACAACAUAGAGACAGAUUCCUGUCUGAACUGAAGUUCUUUCAGCUUACACAUCCUGCUUCUGGGUACCAUUUUCAAACUGUGUUACAAAUUACAAGAAGUUAUCUCUUCUCCAGGCUGCCUUUGCCAUCCUGUCUUUGAUGAAUGGAAGGAUGUCUGUGCAGUUGAGAGCACUGGCUGCUCUUCCACAGGGACUUGGUUCAACUCCUAGCACCCAGAUAGCUACUCACCAUUGUCUACAAGUCUAGUUCUGGGGCAUCCAACACACUCUUCAGGCCUCUGUGCCCCAGGCACACAUCAUGCAGGCAAAAUACUCAUAUACAUAAAUAGUAAAAAAACAAAACAAAAUGUGGACGUGGACACGCGUUCUUAUCUGUAGGAGCUCUCCGCAUCUGGAGUGCAGCCCCGGAGUAAAGAGGCAAGUGUGAUCACACGCCAAGUAGGACUGAUGGUAGGGAGUAAGCACGGGGUUAAACAUGGAUGUGAAGCCAGACCCUGGAAUCCACUGUUGAACUGCCCCAGAAUUUCAAAGCAUGCAGAAAUUCCUGUUAAAGAGCUGAGCCUUUCUGUGUCAUCAGCUUCUCCUGACAAGUCACUGUAAAGAAAAUCUAGUCCUUUCCAGCCCUAAAGCCCACACACUUCACAACGUAAACUGCAGAUCUGUGUAGCAUGCUCUCAAAUCACAGCAACGAAAGUUAAGACAGGAAACACACUCCAAAAUAAUGAUGGCGGUGAUGGUGGUGGUGGUGAUGAUGAUGGUGACGAUGUAACGCAGGGCCGGGGAAAUAUCUAAAUCUUUUCUCCCCACUUAGCCUUACCUUGAAUUCCUUUUCCCAAGACCUAACAACCAAUCAAUAAAGGAAAAAGCAGAGAAACAGUACAAUACCUGACAACCCCUCUUUUC